rnacentral:rRNA from 1 species
AGCGAACGCUGGCGGCGUGCCUAACACAUGCAAGUCGAACGUGAAAGGGAGCAAUCCCAAGUAAAGUGGCGUACGGGUGAGUAACACGUAGGUAAUCUACCCCAGAAUCUGGAAUAACCGGCCGAAAGGCUGGCUAAUACUGGAUAGAGCGACGGAAUCCGUAAUUGGGUUUUUCGGGAAAGGGAGCCUGUAAAAAGGCCUUCGUUCUGGGAUGAGCCUGCGUCCCAUCAGCUAGUUGGUGAGGUAAAAGCUUACCAAGGCAAUGAUGGGUAGCUGGUCUGAGAGGACGAUCAGCCACACUGGAACUGAAACACGGUCCAGACUCCUACGGGAGGCAGCAGUGGGGAAUCUUGCGCAAUGGACGAAAGUCUGACGCAGCAACGCCGCGUGAGUGAAGAAGGCCUUCGGGUUGUAAAGCUCUGUCGAGUGGGACGAAAAUGCUUGGAGUUCACAGCUCCAGGAACUGACGGUACCACUAAAGGAAGCACCGGCUAACUCCGUG